rnacentral:rRNA from 1 species
CCUACGGGUGGCAGCAGUGAGGAAUAUUGGUCAAUGGGCGGAAGCCUGAACCAGCCAAGUCGCGUGAGGGAUUAAGGCCCUAUGGGUCGUAAACCUCUUUUGUCAGGGAGCAAGGUCGUCCACGUGUGGGCGUAUGGAGAGUACCUGAAGAAAAAGCAUCGGCUAACUCCGUGCCAGCAGCCGCGGUAAUACGGAGGAUGCGAGCGUUAUCCGGAUUUAUUGGGUUUAAAGGGUGCGUAGGCGGUCCGUUAAGUCAGCGGUAAAAUUGCGGGGCUCAACCCCGUCGAGCCGUUGAAACUGGCAGACUUGAGUUGGCGAGAAGUACGCGGAAUGCGCGGUGUAGCGGUGAAAUGCAUAGAUAUCGCGCAGAACUCCGAUUGCGAAGGCAGCGUACCGGCGCCAGACUGACGCUGAGGCACGAAAGCGUGGGGAUCGAACAGGAUUAGAUACCCGAGUAGUC